GGAAUGAGUGUAUGCGUGUGUGUGUGUGUGUGUGUGUGUGUGUGUGUGCACGCGCGCACGCUCCAGGAGAC
rnacentral:miRNA from 1 species